GGCUGUGAGGGCGAUCUGGCUGCGACAUCUGUCACCACAUUGAUCGCCAGGGUCGAUCCAGCUGAUCUGGCUGGCUAGGUGUGUGUCCCCUUCCUCCCUCACUGCUCCAUGUGUGUCCCUCCGGAAGCUGCACACUUGGUCAAGGACGACGACCAUCCCUCAUAGAGGAGGACCAGUCUUUGGUCAAGGGUAUACGAAUAGCUGUGCUCCCCUGUUAGAACCUCCCAACAAGAUCUCAAAAUAAGAAACAACUAAGGGAAAGUCACCAAAAAACAUCUUCUUUUAAAAGUCAUGUAAGACUACUUU
rnacentral:snRNA from 1 species